rnacentral:rRNA from 1 species
CCCUUAGAUGUUCUGGGCCGCACGCGCGCUACACUGACAGAGCCAACGAGUUCUUUGCCUUGGCCGGAAGGUCUGGGUAAUCUUGUUAAACUCUGUCGUGCUGGGGAUAGAGCAUUGCAAUUAUUGCUCUUCAACGAGGAAUGCCUAGUAAGCGCGUGUCAUCAGCAUGCGUUGAUUACGUCCCUGCCCUUUGUACACACCGCCCGUCGCUAUUACCGAUUGAAUGGCUCAGUGAGGCCUUCGGACUGGCUCGGGGAGGUUGGCAACGACCACCCCAAGCCGGAAAGUUCGUCAAACUCGGUCAUUUAGAGGAAGUAAAAGUCGUAACA